UUCCGGUUGAUCCUGCCGGACCUGACUGCUAUCGGAUUGAUACUAAGCCAUGCGAGUCAUUGUAGCAAUACAAGGCAUACGGCUCAGUAACGCGUAGUCAACCUAACCUAUGGACGGGAAUAACCUCGGGAAACUGAGAAUAAUGCCCGAUAGAACAUUAUGCCUGGAAUGGUUUAUGUUCCAAAUGAUUUAUCGCCGUAGGAUGGGACUGCGGCCUAUCAGUUUGUUGGUGAGGUAAUGGCCCACCAAGACUAUUACAGGUACGGGCUCUGAGAGGAGUAGCCCGGAGAUGGGUACUGAGACACGGACCCAGGCCCUAUGGGGCGCAGCAGGCGAGAAAACUUUGCAAUGUGCGAAAGCACGACAAGGUUAAUCCGAGUGAUUUGUGCUAAACGAAUCUUUUGUUAGUCCUAGAACCACUAACGAAUAAGGGGUGGGCAAGUUCUGGUGUCAGCCGCCGCGGUAAAACCAGCACCUCAAGUGGUCAGGAUGAUUAUUGGGCCUAAAGCAUCCGUAGCCGGCUCUGUAAGUUUUCGGUUAAAUCUGUACGCUUAACGUACAGGCUGCCGGGAAUACUGCAGAGCUAGGGAGUGGGAGAGGUAGACGGUACUCGGUAGGAAGUGGUAAAAUGCUUUGAUCUAUCGAUGACCACCUGUGGCGAAGGCGGUCUACCAGAACACGUCCGACGGUGAGGGAUGAAAGCUGGGGGAGCAAACCGGAUUAGAUACCCGGGUAGUCCCAGCUGUAAACUAUGCAAACUCAGUGAUGCAUUGGCUUGUGGCCAAUGCAGUGCUGCAGGGAAGCCGUUAAGUUUGCCGCCUGGGAAGUACGUACGCAAGUAUGAAACUUAAAGGAAUUGGCGGGGGAGCACCACAAGGGGUGAAGCCUGCGGUUCAAUUGGAGUCAACGCCGGG
rnacentral:rRNA from 1 species